rnacentral:rRNA from 1 species
UACUAGAGUAGCACUCGCAUAUCAAUAGCGGAGGAAAAGAAACUAACAAGGAUUCCCCUAGUAACGGCGAGUGAAGCGGGAAGAGCUCAAAUUUGAAAUCUUAAAGGGUUUCCCUUUACGAAUUGUAGUUUAAAGAAGUGUUUUCUGUUGAGGUUUUGGUAAAAGUUCUUUGGAAUAGGACAUCAUAGAGGGUGAGAAUCCCGUAUUUGACCUUUACUUUCAACUUUGUGAUACACUUUCAAAGAGUCGGAUUGUUUGGGAAUGCAGUCCAAAAUGGGUGGUAAAUUUCAUCUAAAGCUAAAUAUUGGCGAGAGACCGAUAGCGAACAAGUACCGUGAGGGAAAGAUGAAAAGAACUUUGAAAAGAGAGUUAAACAGUACGUGAAAUUGUCAAAAGGGAAGCGUUUGACACCAGUGUUGUUUUUCUGAAAAUCAAUUAAAGAACUGUUUAUGCUAAGUUGUUUAGACUUUAUCAGCUAUCUGUUUAGUUUUGAGCUUUUCUUUAAUGCACUUUUCAGUUAACAAGUCAACAUCAAUUUCUUUUGCUGUAAAAAGGCUUGAGGAAGGUGGCUUGAGAUUCGUCUUAAGUGUUUAUAGCCUCUUGCCUAUGCAGUCGGAGAGAUUGAGGUCUGCAGCGUAGAUCCUUCGGGGCUAAAUGCAUUUGUGCUAAGUUAUAGCAUUUUAUAGACAACUUGUUGACUAUGAUUUGUCUUGUAGCUUACUCGCUUAUGUUAUUUUACCUACGCUUAGGAUGUUGAGCGCAUGUCUCUCUCU